rnacentral:rRNA from 1 species
AUUGAACGCUGGCGGAAUGCCUUACACAUGCAAGUCGAACGGUAGAGGGGGCAACCCCUCGAGAGUGGCGAACGGGUGAGUAAUAUAUCGGAACGUGCCCAGUCGUGGGGGAUAACGUAGCGAAAGUUACGCUAAUACCGCAUACGAUCUAAGGAUGAAAGCGGGGGAUCGCAAGACCUCGCGCGAUUGGAGCGGCCGAUAUCAGAUUAGGUAGUUGGGGGGGUAAAGGCUCACCAAGCCAACGAUCUGUAGCUGGUCUGAGAGGACGACCAGCCACACUGGAACUGAGACACGGUCCAGACUCCUACGGGAGGCAGCAGUGGGGAAUUUUGGACAAUGGACGCAAGUCUGAUCCAGCCAUUCCGCGUGCAGGAUGAAGGCCCUCGGGUUGUAAACUGCUUUUGUACGGAACGAAAAGGUCUCUCCUAAUACGAGGGGCUCAUGACGGUACCGUAAGAAUAAGCUCCGGCUAACUCCGUGCCAGCCGCCGCAGUAAGAC